UAUGUUUAACUAUAAAUACUGGGCCCGAACAAUACAGUUCAAACAAUAACACUUGCGCACUAGAACCUGCAACAUCAGUCAACACACACUUCAAAAUGAAGUUCUUCGGUAUUGCUCUGAUUGUCCUCUUCGCCAUCGUGGCUUGCUAUGCCGCUGAGGCUCCCAAGGAAGCCCUGAAGGGCUCCGAGGCUGUUUACUUGGCAUCCCCCUACGCCUACGCCGCCCCCGCUGCUGUUUACCCCUAUGGAUACUACUACCGCUAAAUUAGUUCCCUGCCCGACAGCAUUUACUAUGACAACCUCACGGGCUACAGACAACAGCUUCAAUCUUUGUGGAACUUCGACUGCAAAUCUGACUACAUGCAAGUCUCUUUGACUUACAUUCUUUCUAUGAUGUUUUGGCACAUGUACACUCUCAAGUAUACUAUUAAAAUAUGAAAA